UGUUUUGCUGUCAAAACCCCAUUUUAAGCUCAUCAAAAUAAUAAGAGCAAAUUAGAAUUUUAUCUUUGGGAGUUCAAUCCUUCUCUUCUCUUCUCUUCUCUGGUCUUCGGUCUCACCACCGACCACCAUCGCAAACCGCCAAACCAUUGCACCGAUCUUCAUCAUCCACUAUUAGAAUUAGAGCAAAUCCCAAACUCCCUAUACUCUUUGAUUUUUCCUUGAUGAUGCCCCUAAUUACCGAGUUCCCACAUUUCAAAGUCAAAGUUGAUUUCCUACUUUUAAGGUUGUGUGGAAGCUCAGGUGGGAUUCAAAUGGAGCUUGAUUAUAAUAAAGGGAUUCAAAUUAUAUUUAUGUGUUAUAUAUUAAGGUUGUAUUCAUUUAGUAUAUGAAUUGUUGUGAGUUAAAGAAUUAUAUUUACUCAAGGUUAUUUAUUCAAGUUAUUUAAGGUUAUUUUGUGGGCCCAUAAUCCAUAGGUCCAGGAUCGAGUUUAAGGUUAAAGUUAUUAUUUUUUCAA